ensembl:lncRNA
AAGGAGGCCACUGUGGGUGGAGGGAAGAGAAGAGAGAGGAUGGUGGCCAGAUGGAACUCUGAUUCUCAGACCAUGGUCUGAAGAACUUUGAUCUAACGCGGUCUGUAUUCUGAGGACCAAAGUCACCUUACGGCUAAUGAUGAUGUUUCCCAUCUCUUAUGACAAACUCGCAUGGCUGUACAUCGACUCCUUACUGCAUGGACCUGCCUGAUGGAGCGAGGCUAGUUUCCUCCCAAGGUCCAGAGAAGUCACCAUGGGACCUACUGAUGUUCUCAAAAUCCUACGUUCAUUCUCCAGUCCCUCUUCAGGACUUUCCCCAGCCCCUGCAGGUCUUCUCGAACAGCUAAGACAAGAUCUUUAUUGUCCAUUGCAGGCAAAACUGUAAUGUGCAUUCUUCUCAUCAAAGUCGUAUGCACAUUUCUCUGCGAAAAGGAAGAAGAGGAGUAAAUAGCUCAAAAGGCUUAGGCAAGGAGGUGGAGAAUGGAACACCCC